AUUGAACGCUGGCGGCAGGCCUAACACAUGCAAGUCGAACGAGUGGCGGACGGGUGAGUCAUGUCUGGGAAACUGCCUGAUGGAGGGGGAUAACUACUGGAAACGGUAGCUAAUACCGCAUACCAUCAGAUUUCCCCAGAUGGUAUUAGCUAGUUGGUGGGGUAACGGCUCACCAGGGCGACGAUCCCUAGCUGGUCUGAGAGGAUGACCAGCCACACUGGAAAUGAGACACGGUCCAGACUCCUACGGGAGGCAGCAGUGGGGAAUAGUGAACAAUGGGCGCAAGCCUGAUGCAGGCAGGCCGCGUGUAUGAAGAAGGCCUGCGGGUUGGAAAGUACUUUCAGCGGGGAGGCGUUACCCGCAGAAGAAGCACCGGAUAACUCCGUGCCAGCAGCCGCGGUAAUAC
rnacentral:rRNA from 1 species